rnacentral:pre_miRNA from 1 species
AGCGGAAUUGCUGGAUCAUAUGGGUAUUUCUAUUUUUAAUUUUUUGAGGAAUGUCCAUACUGUUUCCAUAAUGGGUAUCCUAAUUUGCAUUCCCAUCAACGGU